rnacentral:rRNA from 1 species
UGUUUCGGCAAGGGGGUCAUCCCGACUUACCAACCCGAUGCAAACUGCGAAUACCGGAGAAUGUUAUCACGGGAGACACACGGCGGGUGCUAACGUCCGUCGUGAAGAGGGAAACAACCCAGACCGCCAGCUAAGGUCCCAAAGUCAUGGUUAAGUGGGAAACGAUGUGGGAAGGCCCAGACAGCCAGGAUGUUGGCUUAGAAGCAGCCAUCAUUUAAAGAAAGCGUAAUAGCUCACUGGUCGAGUCGGCCUGCGCGGAAGAUGUAACGGGGCUAAACCAUGCACCGAAGCUGCGGCAGCGACGCUGAUGCGUUGUUGGGUAGGGGAGCGUUCUGUAAGCCUGUGAAGGUGUGCUGUGAGGCAUGCUGGAGGUAUCAGAAGUGCGAAUGCUGACAUAAGUAACGAUAAAGCGGGUGAAAAGCCCGCUCGCCGGAAGACCAAGGGUUCCUGUCCAACGUUAAUCGGGGCAGGGUGAGUCGACCCCUAAGGCGAGGCCGAAAGGCGUAGUCGAUGGGAAACAGGUUAAUAUUCCUGUAC